ACCCCGGUAGUUCCUUUUUUUUAUUUCCCAUUUCCUCCGCUUUACUUUUUACUUUCUAAACUCGUCCAGCACCCCCACCAAGCAAGCCCAAAACCUGCCGGAGCGCUCAUCGAGAUGUAUGAGUCCGAUCACGUGGAGAAGCUGGAGGAGGCGACGGCGGUAGCGAGGAAGCAGCCGUUGCGGAUAUGGCGUCUGGAUAGUUAGUUGAUGUUGAACUGGAUCGCAGCAAGGGAAGUGGUGCAACGGCCAUCUUUGGCGGUGAAGGAGCUUGUUGAGAAUAGCCUCUGCGCCGGUGCUACCUCCAUAUCCAUCGUUGUUUAAGGAUGGAGGACUCCAGCUCAUCCAGGUUUCUGUUAACGGCCAUAGCAUCCGGGCAGCAUUUACUGUACUGAUUCAUGGAUCAUUUAGCUGGAGCCUGGAGGAUUAAUCAUUGCUAGUUAUCUGUGAGCACAGGUUUAGUCAUCAUCUCUUAACAAGGCUUACGUUUAUGGUGUUAUUGUUCGGUGGAAAAUUUUUUAGGAGUAUUUUGAAAUUUAAAUGUUAAAUUGCUGUCAUUGUUGAGAAUCAGAGGAAUGGAGGCUAGAAAUACUAUUAAUUGGUUGAGGAGCAAAGGCAAAAUUUGCUUUUAGUUCUUGACUUUGUUUAGGUGUAUAACAAGCACUAAAAUAAUUUAUGUCUGUCCAGGCAACUGGCAAAGUUAAUAUAUAUAUUGAAAAAAGGUGGAAACAAUGUAUGAAAUAGAUCCAUUUUUUUUAGUGAGAAAGGAAAUACUUGUUGUGAAUACUUUUUUCAAGGUCUCAACCCAUGUUGCUUCUCCAUUAUCCAAGGUUACCUGUUCUUUUUGCAAGCAUUUAUUUGUUAAAUUUUGAAGUACUUUUGGCACUUUUAGAAAACCAUGUUGAUUUUUUGGACGCCUUCAUUGAUUCUUUCUUUCAUCUAUCUUUCAAUUAUUUCAUCUACAUGCAUUGUGACAACAUUAUUGAAAAAAAAUGAAUCAUUUAUUUAAUUAAUCUUCUAAUGUCGUCCAUAUUUUACUCAUCAAGCCUUUGGGUUUUAAGGUUUUAAUUGAUUUCAUUUAAAAUUGUUUCGACUUGGUUUCCUUAGUGUGUUGCUUUGCCUCAAGAUGUGAGAUGUGAACAAUUUUUCACUUUCAGAUUUUUAGGUAAUGUUUUUGGAAAGUCUUCUUGAAAUAUGGAAACAAAGUGUUAAUUUAACAUGUUAAUUAGAAAAGGAUUUAUGUUUGCAUGUGCAAUAGUUUUUUGCUUGUGUAUACCUCCAUUUUUUUACUUUGCUAAUAAUUUUAUGGGGGUUUUUGGAUUCUGAUAGGUUGGUUGAAUGUGCAGAAUUGAAGAGAGCUAUAGAAAUUGUGUAUUCUGCAACUUUGCCAAAAGCUUCUAAACCAUUCAUUUAUGUGUCUAUUAACUUAUCACCUGAAGAUGUAGAUAUACAUAUACAUCCAGCAAAGGGAGAGGUAAGCCUUUUGAAUCAGGAUGGUAUUGCUGACAGGAGCCAGAACACAAUAGAGUCCAAGUUGAUGAGUGCUAACACUACAAGGACAUUUCUAUCUCAGAUAUGUUAAUAGGUUUUGAUUUAUAAGUAUUUAGCUGCCACUCUGUGUAAUUUGCCCAUUAAAUUAUAUAAUUUAUUUUGUUAAAUUUAUUUAGGGUAAUGUAGCAUCAUGUUGUUAUAAUUUAUUUUGUUAAAUUCAUUUAGGGUAAUGUAGCAUCAUGUUGUUUGUGUAUUUGUGCGUCUGUGGUGGCUCUGUGUAAGGAGCUCCACUAUAUUAGAGAACUUACAAUGAUAUGGGAUAGGAUAAGGCAAAUAAUAUUUCAAUUUUCUUUUGCAAGAAAAGUUCAAGAGAAAAAAAAGAUCAUUAACAAGUUCACUUUUUAGGGUCUUAUUCUUCAGUUCAUAUUCUAUUAGAAUUUACUAGUUGCUUAGUUUAUUUAAUAUAGUGGAUUUACGAUUUUACUAAAAAUGAUUUAGACUUGCAAUCACUUGUCAAUGUAUGUCCCGAUUAUGCUCUCUAUGAAUAGAACCUUGACAGAUCAAAACUGUCUCCAUUAGCCUGCAAAUAUGUUUGACUCUAAUGUCUACACCAGUAGGAUGAAUGUAUUACAUUAUCAUAUGAAGCCUUCAAUGGCUUUUGCCAAAAAAAUCCAGAAGCAUGUGCGUACUUUAAACCUUUCAGUUUUGGGAUAUUGUAAAAAACUGUACAUGUAACAGCCUAGCUGAUCACACUUUCUGCAUUGUUUCUGCAGGAGAUAGACAUCUACUUUAUGAAUGUACUGAAUGUGAGCUAAUCCUGCUUAGCUUUCUUCAUAUGCUUCUCCUGCAGAUCAAUGAUUAGAUGUCAGUUGACAUGUAGCCCAGGGUUUCUUGGUGGGGUCGUCGCUGGUGGUGGUGGGGUGACCGGUCCUGGUG